rnacentral:rRNA from 1 species
CCCUUGUACACACCGCCCGUCACACCAUGGGAGUGGGUUGUACCAGAAGUAGGUAGAAUAACCGCAAGGGUUCGCUUACCACGGUAUGAUUCAUGACUGGGGUG